AAAAACGAGUCCGCUCCAAUAGCCCAAGGUCCAUGCCAAUCAAAUGACAUGGCGCGCUAAGUCAAAUUAAGGACCAUUAAAAUCAUGCGAGCCACAUGCAUAAGUGAUGUAGUAUACCAAGUUAAUGUUAGAACCAAUCAAAUAUCGUCAAGUAUUAAAAUGAUAUGGUUCAACCAAUCAUAUGUAGUCUUAUCACAUAGCUUUAGUGAUAGCUUUAAUGACUCAUAUGAAAUUGAAGGAGAAAGAGUAUGUAUUUAUCACAAACUACCUUCCCCUAUAAGUCUAUAACUAUAAAUAUGGGUCUCCAUAAAAUCAAAAGAAGAUCAUCAGAAGAUCAAUCAGAAGAAGAGGAGAAGUCCAUUAAUCAAGAAGUUUUCCUCUCUGGUGUGAUCCGCAAGUCUUUCAUUACUCAAGAAGUUUUCCUCUUCAUUGAUGAUCUGUAAGUCUUUGAAAAAUCAAGAAGUCUUCGUCUUCAUUGGUUUCUGCAAGUAUUUCAUACACUCCACGUCCAUGAUCAAAGUCUGGCUCCACAUCCAUGAUAAAAAUUCAACCAAUAAGUUUAGUCCUGCAAUUCAAGAAUAAGCCCUUAAAAUCAACAGCCGUGAGGAGAAGAAUCAGAUGUCUAUAUAUUUCGAUUUAGGAUAGUCUUGAAAUUAUAACCCACAUAAUUUAUUGAAAUACAAAGAUUGUUAUUUGUCACUAUUUUUGUUGUCUUGAUUAUUUAUUUUUCAGGAAUAAAAUUUAGUUGUUACAAAAUUUGGAACACCCAAUAGGACUAUCUUUACCUCUCAUCUCUUCUCUUCCAAGUUCAAAACUACUAAGAAGACCGCAAUGAAGAUCUACUCCAGAUCCCAUACUACUAAGGAGGCUCAAUCAAAAAUGAAUUUAAAGUUACCUUGAAGAUUGCUGGCCAAAUCAAGAGGAGUGAAGCUGAAAUAGUAGGAAUACAAGUGUUGCAAGUACCAUUCAAGUCAUCUCAUGUUUCCGCAUAAUAUUCUUUGAAAGAAGGGAUAUCCUCUUCAUACAUGCUAGAAGAAGGGAACAGUAUUGCUCAUGUGGUAGAAAGAACUUUGGCUUGACUCAGCCUGUCAAAAGAACGAUAUUUCUUGUCCAACAACAACCGCAUCAUGCAAAAAGAAGAUAAUAUUUUGAGCUCUAGAUUUACUCCAGUAUUCCAUCAUAUCCCUCUUCAAUCAAAGCUUUAUUUAAGUAAUGAUCCAUACUAUUCUUCACCCUCUACAGUGGUCAUACAAGCGAUAGUAGUUGAAGCUUCUACCUUAAAAGAAUAACUUGCAAAUUUGAUGAAAACAAUUGAAAGCUUGUCAAAACAUAUACAAGAUCCUAAACUUUUCAAAUUGACAAAUAAAGUGGAGAGCAUUGUAGAACGAAAAUUUGCAUAAGCACCUUAGAAGCUUCAUGAGUCACAAGAGAAAAAAGAGCCCUCCGCAAACCAAGCAAUAACAACCAAGGAGAUCCAAGUUUGCACGGUAGGUCUGAUUCCUAUUGAGUAAUUGAAAAACUUUAUCAUUGAGGCUAUUUAAGAUAAAUCUGAGCCACAAGCCAAAUAUUUUCUCAUAAAUGCAAAGCCGUAUACGCAAAGAAUUGACAACUUGAAGAUGCAUGUGGUUUAUCAACUUCCUCAGUUGCA
rnacentral:lncRNA from 1 species